UCCCUCCCAGGAUCACACCUGGGGAGUUACUAAUAUUCUACCAGUCUCGACUAUGGGAGGAACAGUCAAGCAGAGGCAUACCUGUUCCAUUCCUAGCUUGGGCAUUGGUUAGUGAGUGGAAGGCAAUCUGCUACAAAU